UAACGAAAGGUUUGAGUAUAGUAUAGUCAAGAAAUGGAUGAGAAGGAAGAGGAGGAACCAAAGACAUUGUUCAAAAGAAGAGAAAAGCCGAGAGAAUCGGUUACGAAAAGAGAAGAAGGAUGAAGGAGACAAAGAAGAGGUUUUAGUGAAGGAUAUGAGGAAAAGAAAAUAAGAAUUGGAAGAGACAAAAAUAAUGGGAAGCUUAAAGAAGAAGAAAAGGCCGUCGUAUCAAACUGUCGCUUCGAUUACGAGUCCCAAGGUCGGCUGUAAUGAUGAAUAGACAGCGGCAAUUAAGAUGAGUUAAUUAAUGCCGCACAUGAGACAAAAGUAGAGAAUGCGAUCGGGGCCGUAAAGAAGAGAAUAAACGGCUUAGAUUAAACCGUACAGAAGAUCGUAGUGCAGAAUACGUCAGAGAAUUUGAAUUUGAUUGGACCGAGAAAUACGCCUCGAAUCAAGCCUGCUUUCGGCAACAGAAAAUUGUUUGAGACAAAAAAAAAGGUAACGCCAGCUACCGAAGCAUCGCUUCGAAAACUGGCGAGGGGGCAAUUGUUGAGCCAGUUAAGCGCGAACAGCUGGCACACCGGGUCCAUAUCCGUAAGACGGCUAAAACGGUACACCGGACGCAUACAAGCCGCACUGGACCGAGGAGUUAUAACAACCGCAAGCAGUUACGAGCGGUUCCGAUCGGCCGAAGGUGGUCCUACGAAUCAGGAGAUAGUGGCUGAUCGUGCAAGAGCAAUAACUGACGCAAAGGCGGUUCUAUAAAUAGGCAUACGAUACCCUGAAAAAGGGUCUUCGCCCCUGCGCACAAAAGACCACCUUUAUUUUUCUGCAUCUUUCAAUU
rnacentral:lncRNA from 1 species